AACGAACGCUGGCGGCAUGCCUAACACAUGCAAGUCGAACGAGACCUUCGGGUCUAGUGGCGCACGGGUGCGUAACGCGUGGGAAUCUGCCCUUGGGUUCGGAAUAACAGUUGGAAACGACUGCUAAUACCGGAUGAUGACGUAAGUCCAAAGAUUUAUCGCCCAGGGAUGAGCCCGCGUAGGAUUAGCUAGUUGGGGGGGUAAAGGCCUACCAAGGCGACGAUCCUUAGCUGGUCUGAGAGGAUGAUCUGCCACACUGGGACUGAGACACGGCCCAGACUCCUACGGGAGGCAGCAGUGGCGGAUAUUGGACAAUGGGCGGAAUCCUGAUCCAGCACUGCCGCGUGAGUGCUGAAGGCCUUAGGGUUGUAAAGCUCUUUUACCCGGGAUGAUAAUGACAGUACCGGGAGAAUAAGCCCCGGCUAACUCCGUG
rnacentral:rRNA from 1 species